rnacentral:pre_miRNA from 1 species
UCUUGGCGCCGGAUCCGCCGGUGAGGAGACCGGGGUCACCGGAUCUGACAGCCCCGGCCUCCUUACUAGGAGAUCCGACGGCUCAU